CUAGCGACUUCAGAGUUUGAUCCUGGCUCAGGACGAACGCUGGCGGCGUGCCUAACACAUGCAAGUCGAGCGGAGACAUACGACGGAUUUGAAGUUUUCGGAUGGAGAUGAAGAUGUAUGUUUUAGCGGCGGACGGGUGAGUAACGCGUGAGCAACCUGUCCUUCACAGGGGGAUAACACAGCGAAAGUUGUUCUAAUACCGCAUAAGACCACAGAGCCACAUGGCUUAGGGGUCAAAGGAGGAAUCCGGUGAAGGGUGGGCUCGCGUCCGAUUAGAUAGUUGGUGAGGUAACGGCCCACCAAGUCGACGAUCGGUAGCCGACCUGAGAGGGUGAUCGGCCACAUUGGGACUGAGACACGGCCCAA
rnacentral:rRNA from 1 species